rnacentral:rRNA from 1 species
CCCAGACUCCUACGGGAGGCAGCAGUGGGGAAUAUUGCACAAUGGGGGGAACCCUGAUGCAGCGACGCCGCGUGGGUGAAGGAGCACCUCGGUGCGUAAAGCCCUCUCGGCAGGGAAGAAACAGACGGUACCUGACUAAGAAGCCCCGGCUAACUACGUGCCAGCAGCCGCGGUAAUACGUAGGGGGCAAGCGUUAUCCGGAUUUACUGGGUGUAAAGGGCGGGUAGGCGGGAUUGCAAGUCAGAUGUGAAAACUAUGGGCUCAACCGAUAGAGUGCAUUUGAAACUGCAGUUCUUGAGUGAUGGAGAGGCAGGCGGAAUUCCUAGUGUAGCGGUGAAAUGCGUAGAUAUUAGGAGGAACACCAGUGGCGAAGGCGGCCUGCUGGACGAUGACUGACGUUGAGGCUCGAAAGCGUGGGGAGCAAACAGGAUUAGAUACCCCUGUAC